CGGCACUGUCAGGGCUCUCUGAGCCUGUCAGCCCAUGAUUGAUUGACAAUGACAAACAUAGACCAAUAAUAUGUGUCGAGGCUGGCCACACACUGCUAGCCCCAAUUUAGAGAGAGAGUAAAAGACAAAACAUAGCGGACCGGACCGGCCCACAUUGGGUCAACGGCCCGCCGGGACGAUGCCCUGUAUGCCAGAUGGCCAGUCCACCCCUGCUCGGGGGGCAGAGGAGGUAGAGGAGGACGGGGCUCCAGAGACUUCACUGUCAGGGGCAGGAGAUGAUGAGGAGCUUGAGGAGGCAGCAGCAGGGCCAUCGCACAAUACAGGAUAUUCUGGAUACACUGGACGUCCCUGCUCUGAUGACGGAAUUCAUCAGCCCCACCCCAGAACGAAAGACCACCUUUGGAGUCCUACCAUCUACUUAAGGUAAGAAAAUGUAUUUUAACUGCAUAUCGGUGUGGGUCCUUGAUUAGCGAUAUCAGAUGGUUGGUUUGUGAUCUCAUUAUGUAGUGGCCGUGCAGCUGGAUUAGUUGGAAAAAAAAAUGUUGUUGUUAGUCCUUUUGGCUAAUAGUACUAAUUUACUUAUUUUUUGUGUGUAUUCUUCUGUAGUUCUUUGAAUGGGCGCAAGAGGAGGAUGGUUUGUAGGUCACCACUGUGUGCGUGCUUGCAUGCGUGCGUUUGCUUCGGAGUUCGGAGGAAGGAGUUUUUUCUUAACGUUAAGUUUGUUAAAACUAUCAAAUCAGUUAGCCUCAUCUAGGCUAUGUUACUUGUUUAUAACACUGUCUAAUGCAUAAUAUCAGUACCUUGUGCGUGUAAUUAAAUAUUUGAGGUCUUAAUUAAAGACAUAUUCUGAGAAAUACUUGCAUUUCAUGUGUGAUUCAAUGAAGCACAUUCACAAGUUGGCCUUAUGGUGUAUUUCUAAAACCUCUGGUCUAAUACAGGUUGGUUGUGAUGACAUCUCAUUAUAGCAUUUAUCACAUGAUUACUAGGCAUAUAAAUAACCAAGUGUAACACCCUAUCGAGAACGUUAUUUAUUUAUGUUUGACCUUUCGCAUUAUGACGUCAUCGGAACGUUUCUCAGCCCCCCCAACUGUGAAUUACUUCCAGCGUCCCUGUAUAGAUCAUGCAUAUAUCAUCCAAGCAAAAAAAAACAAGUCUUCUUUCUCAAUAACAUAGACCAGCCCAGCAGUGAGUCAGACCCAGAGGACGCUGAUGCUGCUCCUGCUCCUGCUCCUGCUCCUGCUCCUGCUCCUGCUCCUGCCCCUGUCCCUGUCCCUGCCGCUGGCCCUUCCUGUGUACCUGUCCCUGAGGCUGGCCCUGCCCCAAGACCACAGAGCGGGACGAAGAGGAAGAGAGCCAGGGUACCAGAGGGGAACACAAAUAUGCAGGGAGCCAUCCUCCAGGCCCUGCAGAGGCAAAAUGCUGUGCCUACCCCUACCCCGCUCUCUGGGAAUGAGCACUUUGUCAUGGGCCUAGUUCCUUCCCUGGAGAGAUUGCCACCUGAAGCACUGGAAGAAGUAGGAGGUGAAGGUCUCGCGGAUCCGGAUGGCCUCUCUCCCGGCG
ensembl:lncRNA